rnacentral:lncRNA from 10 species
CUCAACAAGCAUGGUAUUUCCCUGAUGGGUUUUAUAUAUACUUCAAGAGGAUCAUGCCAUUGGUGAAUUUUUUAAAAAUCAGUUAUCAUCUGGAGAUUCAACUGGGGAAGAAUUUGCUUUUGAACUCAUUCAGACUGUUGGUAGAAUUCACUUAGAGGUCAUUCUUAUUUCUAAGAAGUCAACUGCGAUUCCUUGCUAUGUGGUCUUCCUUGGCAUGUCUGCUUAUUUCAUUAUGUCCACAAGGAGAAUCUCUGGAUACAGUCUUCUUGAAAAACAAAGUCUUAAGGUAAUAGAACCACAGAAGUGAUAUCUUGCAACCUUUGCUAUAGCCAAGUAGUUAGAAACAAGUUACAGGUCUUGCCACAUGCAAGGGGAGGGAUUAUACAAGGAUGUGAAUACUAGAAAGUGAUCAUUGGAAAUCACUUAGUGUCUGUCCACCAUAAAUUCUGACAUAGGGUAGCAAUAUUCUGGCUUCCAAGUGUUCUGUGCUUAGGAAUAAGAACAGGUGUGUGUGGGCGGGGGUGUGUGUGUGGCUUUUUGUUGGCAGAGAGAGAACAAUCAGCCCCUUUUGAGCUUCAGUCACUUCCAUUUACAGUUUUCAUUUCCCUGCUUCAUCAGUCAUUAUAUGUGAUUAGUUUUAUGUGUCAAGUUAGCUAGGCUACAGAACCCAUCAUUUAACCCAUUUAUUACUACAGUCUAGGUGUUGCUAUGAAAGAAUUUCAUAAUGUGGUUAACAUGUACAAUCAGUUAGCUUUAUUUUAUUUUAUUUAUAUAUAUUUUUUGAGACAGAGUCUCGCUC